UUUGUGGUAUAGUCCACGAUUUACAUCCGUCUAAAUAACUCUACCGCACCGCACUGGGGUUCUUUCAAGCUGCUUAUCAACUGUGUGGUAGAUUUGCGCCUAUGGACGGGACGGAGAAUCAGGGUUUGACGGAGAGGGAGCCUACAGCUACC
rnacentral:rRNA from 1 species